UUAUCGCGCGAUUUUUAUGUGUAUCUAUCAUUUUUCUCAUUCUAACAUUCACAAAAUUUUUCAUUCUGCCUCGCUCUUCUGGGUGUUGGUCUGUAUUUGCUUGCGACUUGGCCGUGUCGCAUCAACGAUUCGCAUGUUUCAUUUAGCUCAUCCCUUUCCAUCGUUGGAGAGAAACUCUUGCGUCUCGCUUUUCUGGGACUUGUCCAAAUUCGCUUGCUACACCAAUCGUUCACGCAAGCGUUCUCCUCUCGCCCGCUCUUUGUAUCAUUGUACAGGUACUCCCCGAUAUACGCUAUCAAUGCGUACCGGAGGCAAUAGAGUAUCUCGAAUAUUCAAUAGCGAAAGUCGAAUUUCGAGGUUUUCAGUCAAAUUAUAACUAAUAUCCGUAUAACUUUGCAUGAAGUGGUAGGUUUUAGCCACUAAAUUAGUUAUUUGAUCUAAUUUCAACUGAUUUUUUCAAUUUUAUACCAUUUGAAAUGGUUUUUAUUAUUCAACCAAAAGGGAAUUUAUUUUGCAUUUGACAUUCGAUUUCUAAAAUUAGUACUACUUGUUCAAAGAACCGUCAAAUUUAGAAAAAAAGCGUAUAGCGAAAUCGUGUAUAUCGAGUAUGGCGUAUAUCGGGGAAUACCUGUAUAGCCACACGAGGAAGGAGCUGCUUCGCGUUCACAUGAAAAUGUGAUAGUGUGAAAUCAAGUUUGCAAGCAGUAGGACGCGUCGGUGUGUGUCCGUUUUUUCUCUCGUGAAACCAUUACGGAAAAACUAUUUGAAAUCGUAACACACGCACGAACGGAAGUGAGCACGGACCACAACAGAAGCAAUAUUCAAUUGGUUGGAGUGCCGAAAACAGAACAGGAGAGGAAAGAAGGCAGGAACGAUCCGAUCCUCCAACGUGCUAGCGCCUGGUAGAGGAGAAGCGGCAGGAAGGUAGAGACGAACAUCCAGCGCGCUAGCGCAGCAUGUGGGAGC